UACGAAGGGGGCUAGCGUUGUUCGGAAUUACUGGGCGUAAAGGGCUCGUAGGCGGUGUGUCAAGUCAGGCGUGAAAGCCCCGGGCUCAACCUGGGAACCGCGCUUGAGACUGGCACGCUAGAGUCCGGGAGAGGAUGGUGGAAUUCCCAGUGUAGAGGUGAAAUUCGUAGAUAUUGGGAAGAACACCGAUGGCGAAGGCAGCCAUCUGGACCGGCACUGACGCUGAGGCGCGAAAGCGUGGGGAGCAAACAGG
rnacentral:rRNA from 1 species